CAGGCAGCUCCUUCCAAACAUCUUCAUAUAAAACAGAACAUUAAAAAAAAGGAAACCAAGCUCCAAUUGUUGCAUCCAUGGCAUCACUACAAUGCAGCAAACCAGCUGAUCAGCAACACAGCCAAAACCAGAAGCACGACCAAGGUCACUGCUUCGGCCACGUGUCCGAUAAGAUCAAAGGUGUCUUCAAAGGCCACGGCCAUCACGGCCAGGCUCCAGGGGCAGCACCCCACCACUCGACCAAUGUCAAUGCCAAUGCUAAUGCUAGUGUCAGUCACAAGGAGAAGGAACAACAUAAAAACAAAGAUGGGAAUUUGUUGCACAAGAUCAAGGAUGCCUUUUCCGACCACAGCAGCGACAGCAGUGACAGUGACAAUGAGGGUCACAAAGCCCACCGCAAAAGCAAGAAUAGCGCAGUCUUUCGUAGUGAGGGAGUGUAAGUCAGAAGAUUUUCUAGACAUGGUGGUUGUUAGAAAGAUAUAUGGUCUAUGAAAUGAAAGGAGAAUGUGAGUUGAUUGAAGGGAACCAGAGGAUGCCUCUAAACUACUACUACUAAGGAUUUGAGUGAUCGAUAAUGUAGAAUUAAGAAAAUAAAUGCGACUCCUGUAUCUUUCUUUUUUUUUUUUUAAAUAAAACUGAUGAUGUAUCACUAUUAUAUGUUA